rnacentral:lncRNA from 1 species
CGCCUUGAAGCUUUCACGUGUGAACACAAAUUUAAUAAUAAUGAUACCCAAGAUGAGCUGCAUGAAUGCUGCUGUGGGAAUCCUUGAAUGGUGGAGAGGAAGAUUCCAUAACUCUGGGCAGUGGAUAAAGCUGCUUUAACCAGGAUGCUGGAGUGCCAGUAGGGACCACUGGGAGAGACAGACCUAUGCAGAGGUAAAAAGCAACUAGCAAGAGACCACAGCUGUUCCUAGUUGACCUCAAGCUCCAGCUGAAGCUUUUCUUAUGAACAGAACACUUACUAGGUCAGACAAUCUGUACAGACUC